rnacentral:rRNA from 1 species
GAUGAACGCUGGCGGCGUGCUUAACACAUGCAAGUCGAACGGUGAACCCGGAGCUUGCUCUGUGGGAUCAGUGGCGAACGGGUGAGUAACACGUGAGCAACCUGCCCCUGACUCUGGGAUAAGCGCUGGAAACGGCGUCUAAUACUGGUUAUGUGACGUGACCGCAUGGUCUGCGUUUGGAAAGAUUUUUCGGUUGGGGAUGGGCUCGCGGCCUAUCAGCUUGUUGGUGAGGUAAUGGCUCACCAAGGCGUCGACGGGUAGCCGGCCUGAGAGGGUGACCGGCCACACUGGGACUGAGACACGGCCCAGACUCCUACGGGAGGCAGCAGUGGGGAAUAUUGCACAAUGGGCGCAAGCCUGAUGCAGCAACGCCGCGUGAGGGAUGACGGCCUUCGGGUUGUAAACCUCUUUUAGCAGGGAAGAAGCGAAAGUGACGGUACCUGCAGAAAAAGCGCCGGCUAACUACGUG